UACGGGGGGGCAAGCGUUGUUCGGAAUUACUGGGCGUAAAGGGCUCGUAGGUGGCCAACUAAGUCAGACGUGAAAUCCCUCGGCUUAACCGGGGAACUGCGUCUGAUACUGGUUGGCUUGAGUGCAGGAGAGGAACGCGGAAUUCCAGGUGUAGCGGUGAAAUGCGUAGAUAUCUGGAGGAACACCGGUGGCGAAGGCGGCGUUCUGGACUGCAACUGACACUGAGAAACGAAAGCCAGGGAGCAAACGGG
rnacentral:rRNA from 1 species